UACAGGGGGGGCAAGCGUUGUUCGGAAUUACUGGGCGUAAAGGGUUCGUAGGUGGCCAACUAAGUCAUACGUGAAAUCCCUCAGCUUAACCUGGGAACUGCGUCUGAUACUGGAUGGCUUGAAUUCGGGAGAGGGAUGCAGAAUUCCAGGUGUAGCGGUGAAAUGCGUAGAUAUCUGGAGGAAUACCGGUGGCGAAGGCGGCAUCCUGGACCGACAUUGACGCUGAGGAGCGAAAGCUAGGGGAGCAAACGGG
rnacentral:rRNA from 1 species